GCCCAGAAUCCCGACAGCCGCGCCGGACGCGCAGUCUCCCGGGACCAGCGCAGGCUGCGAUCCGACGGGCGGAUGCACACUCGCAGACCAGCCGCUCCGAGGCGAAACCUCGCGGUUCCUCUUCCCUUCCCUGCUGAGACUAAGACGUGGACGGGCGCCGCGUAGAUCCGGAGGAGGCUCCCAAAUUGGAACCAGGCUUCCGCCUGCCCCCUUCCCUCCCUCCCCGCGGUCGGAAGAGCACCCCCUUCCCCGGCCGCUCUCCCAGCCUCCGGUGCUGUGAAACGCAGGCGCUGGGUCGCGGGCGGAGCUGAGGACAGGCCUUGGCUGGUCGCAGGAUGAGCGAAGAGUUUGGUUUUAGCUGGGGGUUGUGCGGGCAUCCUGCGAGGCCCUUCUCAGUCUGUCUCUCGGUGCUUGGUUGUCCUGGGGUGGGGCCCAUCCGCCGAGGUGGGGACGGAUAGGAGGAGCCGGUGGGCUGUACACAUACACUUGUGGAGUCUCCUCGUGCCUCUGCCUACUCCGCCUUUGUCCUUCAGGUUUUUGCAGGCCAGUCCCGAACACACGCUAACUGUCCUGGCCUCUCUGUGACACAAGUUUCUUCCCAGCCUUCCUCACAGGCUUCUGCCGCCCCCCUCAUCCUCAUCCCCCCCUAUCUGUUUGCAUUAGGAGUCCCACGACCAUGGCGGAAUGUUAAGGUGAACCCCACCCCUUCUUACAGAUGGGGACCCAGAGCCUGCUCUUGGGAACAGCCAGAGUAAGAUUAGAACCCAGACUUGCAGUCCAGCGCUGUUUUCAUUAAAAGGGUGGGUGAGUCAGGACCCCUGGCUCAGGAGCCGCCUCUCCGAAAAGAGGGUUUCAAGGCCAAACAGGUUUGUCAGCGGUGCUGUCUCCCUUUCCUGGAGAUGCUCAUUAGCUUAUCAAAGACUCUGAGAAGUCCCGCUGUUACAGAAAUAAUUUAGUUUACUGUAUUAACUGCUCCUGGGCCUGGAGCAGUAUUCCUACCUUGAGGUUCCAUGCAUCCCUGUGCUGUCCGGGCUCUCAUUGAUGCCUAAGGGCCCAACCCAUUGGCUGUGUUCUGUUUGAAGAUUUGGGGAGCGCCUUCUCUUUCUUCCCCUGGGAAUUUCUCUAGCAGAGGGAGGGGACCCACCCCAUGGAGGAAGGAGAUUGCUGCCCCUAGCCAGAGACCCGAACUGGGAAAUAUGAACAUUCCUUUACAUUGUUGGAGAAAUGAAGCCAAAGUUGUUCAGAUGGUUUUCCCAGUCUAAAGGAAAAUCACCUGCAAGAGAUCCCAGCACUGACCUGAAGCAGCUGGCAGGGUGGAUCUCCCUUACCAAAGAGAAGAACCACUCUCUGACGCUGGGGUGACCUGCUGGCUGGGCCUGUAAAGUUUCCAUGUUGCUGAGGCCAUGGAGAUUCCCAGAGCUGGUCACACCAACCACUUUCAGGGCCCGCUGCCCUGGGCUGGCAACACCAUUCUGGCCUGGGCCUGCAGAAACUUUCAGAGUCUUCACUGGCAGUAGGGGCAGAUGGGGAGAGGAAUGACCUCUGCCCAGCAGCUUCCUUUCCACACCAUUCAAUGGAAGAGCCCAGAUGGGUGAAGACUGAUUUUGCCUUAACUCAAGAGAAUUCCUGUUCUCCUUGUGCUAUGAUUUGGACACAAGAUUCUGGACACCUGGAACUUAGCUGUGUACUCUUGUCCCCUAAACAAUGGGUUUGAGUUCCAGCCUUUAUUCUUUCUUUCAUUUUUCAGAUCACCAUCUAAGUUACAUCUUUAGCUCAGGUCCAUCCUUCUCAAGAUCUCCUUCUUAGCCCCCAGCCCCUGGUGCUGUCUGUGGUCAGAUGACCUUACUCAGGAGCAGAUAUCUCCUUGGCCGCCAUGGAGCCUCAUCCAUCCACACGUGCCUGUAGCAUUCCAGAGCUCAGUGCUCUUCUAGAUGUGCCUUCCCGCUUGGCUUCCAGCAGCUUGUGCUCCCUCUGUUUGCCAGGUAUGAGAAGGACGCGUAAGACCGCCCACGUUCACCCUCCUUCAAGGCCCUGUGCCAUAGGGGUGGCACCUGACCUGCCCCCAGAACUUUUGGAUACUGGAGGCAGUUGCAUAGGCCUCUCUCUCUGGGUACCAGGACUCAGUCCAGCCCAAGACCACUCUGGGCAGCUCCCAUCCCAGUCUAGGGCCAUUUGCAGACCCAGGAAAGGAUUUCUACAGUGUUCUAUAAAAGCCAAAAGGGAGAGUGGAUUUGGGAAGAGUGAGGGUGGUUGGGGAGAGGGGACCGAUGUGCCUCAUUGUUGAGUGGUGAUUACAAAUAUGCUUUUCUGGAUAAAGUUUGGUUGUUUGCUCUUGG